rnacentral:rRNA from 1 species
CGCGUAGGUGGUUGUAUAAGUCGGAUGUGAAAUCCCCAGGCUCAACUUGGGAACCGCAUCCGAUACUGCAUGACUCGAGUGCAGCAGAGGGAAACGGAAUUCCUGGUGUAGAGGUGAAAUUCGUAGAUAUCAGGAGGAACACCGGUGGCGAAGGCGGUUUCCUGGGCUGACACUGACACUGAGGCGCGAAAGCGUGGGUAGCAAACAGGAUUAGAUACCCUGGUAGUCCACGCUGUAAACGGUGAGUGCUGGGUGUGGGAGGUGUAAUGCCUUCUGUGCCGAAGCUAACGCGUUAAGCACUCCGCCUGGGGAGUACGGCCGCAAGGUUGAA